rnacentral:rRNA from 1 species
GAUGAACGCUGGCGGCGUGCCUAAUACAUGCAAGUCGAGCGAACAGACGAGGAGCUUGCUCCUCUGAUGUUAGCGGCGGACGGGUGAGUAACACGUGGAUAACCUACCUAUAAGACUGGGAUAACUUCGGGAAACCGGAGCUAAUACCGGAUAACAUGUUGAACCGCAUGGUUCAACAGUGAAAGACGGUCUUGCUGUCACUUAUAGAUGGAUCCGCGCCGCAUUAGCUAGUUGGUAAGGUAACGGCUUACCAAGGCAACGAUGCGUAGCCGACCUGAGAGGGUGAUCGGCCCCCCUGGAACUGAGACCCGGUCCCGACUCCUACGGGAGGCCGCCGUAGGGAAUUUUCCGCAAUGGGCGAAAGCCUGACGGAGCAACGCCGCGUGAGUGAAGAAGGUCUUCGGAUCGUAAAACUCUGUUAUUAGGGAAGAACAAAUGUGUAAGUAACUAUGCACGUCUUGACGGUACCUAAUCAGAAAGCCACGGCUAACUACGUG